rnacentral:rRNA from 1 species
CAGCAGCAGCCACGGUAAUACCGAGGGUGCAAGCGUUAAUCGGAAUUACUGGGCGUAAAGCGCGCGUAGGUGGUUUGUUAAGUUGGAUGUGAAAUCCCCGGGCUCAACCUGGGAACUGCAUCCAAAACUGGCAAGCUAGAGUAUGGUAGAGGGUGGUGGAAUUUCCUGUGUAGCGGUGAAAUGCGUAGAUAUAGGAAGGAACACCAGUGGCGAAGGCGACCACCUGGACUGAUACUGACACUGAGGUGCGAAAGCGUGGGGAGCAAACAGGAUUAGAUACCCCCGUAGUCCCUGUCUCUUAUAC